rnacentral:rRNA from 1 species
UACGGAGGGUGCAAGCGUUAUCCGGAUUCACUGGGUUUAAAGGGUGCGUAGGAGGGCAGGUAAGUCAGUGGUGAAAUCUCCGAGCUUAACUUGGAACUGCCGUUGAUACUAUCUGUCUUGAAUAUUGUGGAGGUGAGCGGAAUAUGUCAUGUAGCGGUGAAAUGCUUAGAUAUGACAUAGAACACCAAUUGCGAAGGCAGCUCACUACGGAUACAUUGACACUGAGGCACGAAAGCGUGGGGAUCAAACAGG